CUUGGUCAUUUAGAGGAAGUAAAAGUCGUAACAAGGUUUCCGUAGGUGAACCUGCGGAAGGAUCAUUAUCACGUAUCCACGUAUAAACCAUUGUGAACCGUACCACCCUUUGGGAGAGAUGAGUUAGUGUUCAAUCAUACUACAUGAACUCUUUAUUGUGAUUUAUAGUUCAUUUGAUUGGACCUCGGGGUUCCUUCGGAGCUUCCGUACUUUCUUUCCUAGAGGUGUAUUUCUAUAAAUCGCUUGAUUAACAAUUUGAACAAACCUUUAUAACUUUUGAACUGACUUGUUUCUUACUCCUCUAACCGGGAGAAGAAAUUCAUUACGAAACAAAGAACAACUCUUAGCAACGGAUAUCUUGGUUCUCGUAACGAUGAAGAACGCAGCGAAAUGCGAUACGUAAUGCGAAUUGCAGAAUUCAGUGAAUCAUCAAAUCUUUGAACGCAAAUUGCGCUUUCCGGAUAGGCCGGGGAGCAUGCCUCUUUGAGCAUCGUUUCUACUCUACCUCGGCAGCUUGCUGCUCGGAUAAUGAGUUGUCUCAAUCGAAAGAUUGAGUCACUUUAAGAAGCGUGAGUUUCUAACUCCUAGUUCACCCUUCAAUGGGUGCCCUGUUUGAGGGUUUACCAACUAGUGACGUGGAUAAAUUUUAUUUUACGUCAUUGGGAAGUUCACUUUCUGCAUGGCUAAGACCUGGGGUUUGAUAUAAACUCGAGGAAAUUAAAAUUCUUUUUGAAUUAGAUCUCAAAUGAAGCAAGAUUACCCGCUGAACUUAAGCAUAUUAUUAAGCGGAGGAAAAGAAACUAACAAGGAUGCCCUCAGUAACGGCGAGUGAAGCGGGCAAAGCUCAACCUGAAAAUCGGAUUCCUUAGCGGGAUUUCGAAUUGUGGGGUUCUGACGCGUGAUCAGUGUGUGGCCCAGGUAUAAAUCUCUUUGAAACGAGGUAUCAUAGAGGGUGAGAAUCCCGUCUGUGACUUGGUGUCCGCCGCGUACGAUCCGUGUUCGCAGAGUCGCGUUGUUUGGGAUUGCAGCGCUAAAUGGGUGGUAAAUUUCAUCUAAAGCUAAAUAUCGACGAGGGACCGAUAGCGAACAAGUACCGUGAGGGAAAGAUGAAAAGAACUUUGAAAAGAGAGUUAAAAAGUACUUGAAAUUGCUAAGAGGGAAGCACUGGAAACCAGUCGUGACUCGCGUGUAUAUUUAGCCUUUGCUCCUGGAUCCGCGUCGUGUGGAGAGCCCAAAGCCUUCUAGCGAUUCGGUGAAAUGGUGGGGGUGCCCUGUACUGUGAGUUGAGUCAGAAUCAAUUUGAUGCGUGAGAGAAAGCUAUCACAACGGUAGGACCGCGGGGGCAACUUCAAGGUCUGUUUAGUGUGGUAGUCCUAUCAUGCGUUAGAUUGAGGGACAAUCGAAAAGCGCACCACUAGGUUUUCGGUUCCCCGACCCUGGGGUCUCAAGUGGCGUGUACAACAAAGUUGUGCUGUCGCUGAAGGGCCUUACUGGAAGGGAUGAACUAGAAGCAGCUUUCGAGAUUCUGACGAAAUGGUUUUCAUUGACCCGUCUUGAAACACGGACC
rnacentral:rRNA from 1 species